CUACACAGAGAAACCCUGUCUCGGAAAAAAAAAAAAAAAAAAAAAAAAUUCCUAAUAUUUGUAGGACUCUAGCAAGACUUGUGCACAUUGAAUUCAAGAGUGUCUACUUUUCAGUUCUUGUCGUGACCAAAACAUGAGAUAGUGAGUCUACUUCAGUAUAUAGGCAAUUCAGAAGCUUCAGAACUUACUACUUUUUUUUAAUAUUGUAUAAUCUUGGAGCCCACUCAUUUAUUUUGUUGACCAUUUAUUCAACUAAAACUUUCAAUGUUGAGGUAGUUAUGACAUUUCAUCUUUAUAUACAAAAAUACACGAUUCAAGAUAUUUUUGAAGAAAAAAUAAGAUUGAAAAGAUUUCUGCAACGUAAGUUGUAUAAUAAAACCAGGGACUGGAGAGAUAGUAGUUAAGAACACUGCUGCUGCCGAGGACCCUGGUUCGUUUCCUAAAAUCCACAUCGUGGAGUUCCAGAGAAUUCGAGGUCCUCUUCUGGCCUCCGUGGGCAUUGCAUACAAUGCCCAAACAUACAGGCAAAUUACGCAUAAAAUAAAACAUAUAAAUAAAGAAAAAAGUAAAAUUUCCAGUUCUUAGUAGCAUGCCUUUCUCCACUUAGUAACUGCACACCACUCAGUAUUAGCACAUAGCGACGAAUGUUAUAGGUGCUGGUGAUAUACGGCACAAGUACACCAUAAUAUAUUCAACUUUAACGAUUUGAUUCAAAAGCAAUUAAGAGCCAGGAAUAGUGGCUCAGGCCGAGGAUUGCUGCGAGAUUAAGGCCAGCCUGGACUACACAGUGAGUUCCAAACGAGCUUUGUUCCUUUUGUCUCUGCAGCUACGGUAGUAAGAUUAGGUACCGCCAGGGGGCGUGUGUGCAAGAUCCAGAGAAAUAGGUCCCUGAACCACGAAAGAGCAUCCCAGCCAGUGGGCCACAAUGGUGUUACAGUGAUGAUAUAAGGAAGACACAACCAGCUGCCAACCUUCAUGACCACCAUGGUCCACUCUGUCCACCAUCAGAUAACCAUGCAAACUGCAGAUAUCAGAGCCAUCCAGGCAAGACAGGCCUGUUACUGAAGAGGAGAUAUGUCCCAAGACACAUCAUGAAAACAAGAGAGAUGAGCCGCUCGGCCUAGAGGGGAUUUGGGUCCGUGCCCAGUAAGGCACACUACUGCAAAUUCCCAACCCGGACCCAGAUCACCGUGAGACACCCUUUCAAGCUCUUCGGUCCAGACUCUCCAUCUUGCUGUUGUGCAGUGCUCUUAGACAAGAAAGACCCUGCUCUGGCUUCCUUCUGAAACUUCUCCCACCAGCUUUCUGUCUGAGCUGGGGAUCCAUGCUGCUUCUCAAAGGUUUCCCCUGUGAGGACUUCCUGUUUGCCACACUGUCUACCCCCAAGUCCAAAUAAGGCUCCUUGCAAACUCUGCCACUGGGACAAAAGUGACUGAGACUAACCUGGGCAGGAAAAGGCUUAUUUUGUUCACAGGUUACCGACUCUUAUUGAGGGAAGCCCACACAGGAACCUGGAGACAGGAACUGAAGCAGAGGCCGAGGAGGAACGCUGCUUACUGACUUGCUUCCCAGAUUUGCUCAGCGAGCUUUCAUAUACCAUCCAGGACCUCGUGCCUAAGGAUAGCACCACCACUGUGGGCUGGGCCAGUACCACAGGAAUGAGCAACUAAGAAAAUGCUCCAGAUAGUCCCACAGGCAAAUCUGAUGGAGGCCACUCUUCCACUGAGACUCCAUCUUCCCAGGUGUGUCAACUCGACAGCUGAAGCUAUAACACUAGCUUGUGAGCACAUACUUACUUUGAUUAGCUCCCAAAUCUUUGAACUCAAGGGUGGCCUUCAGGUAAGAGCUUGCCUACUCUGUCAUUUCUCUCUUGAGUAAACUGUCACCAGGUUCCCUUUUACAUCUAUUUCAAGAUUUCUCUAUGGAUGGCAACAACCUGAAAACUGUGAAAGGGACUCUGGGUCCCUUCCCCCAUCCGUGGCAAACUCAUGUAUGACUGGGGAAACAUCAUUGCAAGAAAUAUCAGUGGCAAACAAAACCAAACACACCUCAUUCUGUAUGCAUUUCCAGUCACCGAAGCAUUGAGCUAGUUCCCAGAGACGGCAUGUCAUGCUGCCACACCUAACUUUAUGGGGCUCUGUGGAUCUGAACACGGUUCUCAUGCUUUUGUGCCGGUUACCUCACUGACUGCACAGUCUCCUCAUCCCCAUCAUAUAAGAAUUCUUUAAAUGGUAUGGCAGGAAUCUGGGUGCGACUAAACUGCCAGGGAUCAUAAA